GAACUUGCAUCUAACGAAACCAUUGUUAUUAUCUCCUUUAAAUGGUGUGGUUUGAACUUUUGAAGAUAAUAAUGCUUUGCACGCGACACCAUUCACUGAGGGAAACAGGACCAGACGGUUUUAAUUUCAACGUUUACAAGUUCAGGGAUAUAAGAAGAUUUUGGAGGCUUUGACCAAUAUCCAAAGGAAAUCCCAACUAGAUCUCAACUUUUUAACAAAGCUGCUGCAUGAGCAAGGAGUAGGUGAUGUCCAACUAAAUAGGGCUCUGUCCCCGAAUCACCGCCGGUGCAAUUGAGAUUUUGCCAAUCAGAACAUCUACCAGGUGAAAACGUCCCUAUAACAUACCCACCUGUGACGUAAGUUGGUGGCUCAUUCAGGGUAAUCCAAUACUUCACUCUAUCUCCAAAUUCCUUAAAGCAAAGCUCCGCAUAAUCCCGAAAAUCAGAUCUAAAAGACCACAAUAGAAAAGCAUUAUCACAUUUUUUUGUGGCAUUGUUAGAGAAUAAAAUACCUUUAGAGACACUUUUUUUUUAAGAAACAUAGAGACACUUAUAAAAUCCCUUUAGAGACAGUUUUAGAAUAUUUCAGUGAGUACCAGAACAUAUAGUACAUAAAAAAUGGUAAAUAAGUUUUGCCCUUAAAAUAUUUACCCUAUAACAACACAAGAAUAAGUGCAAAUCUAACCUUAUAUUUCCUCAACCUUUUUAUUGCCUUUUGUACUUAUUCUAACAUGUAUAGUUUCAAGCACCAUUAAUUAAGUUAUAUAGUUAUGUAAUAAAAUUUCUCUUUAAACUUGAAUGAUUACUUUUUUCUAUUGUAGAUCACAUCUAAAGAAUUCUUCAAUUUCAUCUAUCCUAAUUGGAUCUUUGGUUAAUA